GUGAAUCAUCGAAUCUUUGAACGCACAUUGCGCCCGCCAGUAUUCUGGCGGGCAUGCCUGUUCGAGCGUCAUUUCAACCCUCAAGCUCUGCUUGGCGUUGGGGAUCGGCAGCCCGGCUUCGUGCCGCGCCGUCCCCCAAAUACAGUGGCGGUCACGCUGCAGCUUCCUUUGCGUAGUAGCACACCUCGCACCGGAGAGCAGCGCGGCCACGCCGUAAAACCCCCGACUUCUUGUUUUUGACCUCGAAUCAGGUAGGACUACCCGCUGAACUUAAGCAUAUCAAUAAGCGGAGGA
rnacentral:misc_RNA from 1 species